GAUGAACGCUGGCGGCGUGCCUAAUACAUGCAAGUCGAACGCUGGAAAUCUAGCUUGCUAGAUUGAAGGAGUGGCGAACGGGUGAGUAAUACAUAAGCAACCUACCCACGAAGACUGGGAUAAUCUCUGGAAACGGGGACUAAUACCGGAUAGGUAAUCGGAAGGCAUCUUCUGAUUAUUAAAGGUUAAAAACACUGGUGGAUGGGCUUAUGGCGCAUUAGUUAGUUGGUGAGGUAACGGUCCACCAAGACGAUGAUGCGUAGCCGGCCUGAGAGGGUGAACGGCCACAUUGGGACUGAGACACGGCCCAGACUCCUACGGGAGGCAGCAGUAGGGAAUUUUCGGCAAUGGGGGAAACCCUGACCGAGCAACGCCGCGUGAGUGAUGACGGCCUUCGGGUUGUAAAGCUCUGUUGUAAGGGAAGAACGGUAGAUAGAGAAUAUCUAAAUGACGGUACCUUACCAGAAAGCCACGGCUAACUACGUG
rnacentral:rRNA from 1 species